UACGUAGGGGGCUAGCGUUGUCCGGAUUUAUUGGGCGUAAAGAGCGUGUAGGCGGCCAGGUAGGUCUGGUGUGAAAACUCGAGGCUUAACCUCGAGAUGUCAUCGGAAACCAUCUGGCUAGAGUCCGGAAGAGGAGAGUGGAAUUCCUGGUGUAGCGGUGAAUGCGCAGAUAUCAGGAAGAACACCCGUGGCGAAGGCGGCUCUCUGGACGGUACUGACGCUGAGACGCGAAGCGUGGGAGCGAACAGG
rnacentral:rRNA from 1 species